rnacentral:rRNA from 1 species
UACGGGGGGGGGCAAGCGUUGUUCGGAAUUACUGGGCGUAAAGGGCUCGUAGGCGGCCAACUAAGUCGGAUGUGAAAUCCCCAGGCUCAACCUGGGAACUGCAUCCGAUACUGGAUGGCUUGAAUCCGGGAGAGGGAUGCAGAAUUCCAGGUGUAGCGGUGAAAUGCGUAGAUAUCUGGAGGAAUACCGGUGGCGAAGGCGGCAUCCUGGAUCCGGCAUUAGACGCUGAGGAGCGAAAAGCUAGGGGGAGCAAACAGG